CUGAGAGGGUGAUCGGCACACUGGGACUGAGACACGGCCCAGACUCCUACGGGAGGCAGCAGUAGGGAAUCUUCCGCAAUGGACGAAAGUCUGACGGAGCAACGCCGCGUGAGUGAUGAAGGUUUUCGGAUCGUAAAGCUCUGUUGUUAGGGAAGAACAAGUGCUGUUCAAAUAGGGCGGCACCUUGACGGUACCUAACCAGAAAGCCACGGCUAACUACGUGCCAGCAGCCGCGGUAAUACGUAGGUGGCAAGCGUUGUCCGGAAUUAUUGGGCGUAAAGGGCUCGCAGGCGGUUUCUUAAGUCUGAUGUGAAGGCCCCCGGCUCAACCGGGGAGGGUCAUUGGAAACUGGGGAACUUGAGUGCAGAAGAGGAGAGUGGAAUUCCACGUGUAGCGGUGAGAUGCGUAGAGAUGUGGAGGAACACCAGUGGCGAAGGCGACUCUCUGGUCUGUAACUGACGCUGAGGAGCGAAAGCGUGGGGAGCGAACAGGAUUGAUACCCUGGUAGUCCACGCCGUAAACGAU
rnacentral:rRNA from 1 species